rnacentral:rRNA from 1 species
UACGUAGGGCGCAAGCGUUGUCCGGAAUUAUUGGGCGUAAAGAGCUCGUAGGCGGUCUGUUGCGUCCGCUGUGAAAACUCGGGGCUUAACCCCUGGCUUGCAGUGGAUACGGACAGACUAGAGGUAGGUAGGGGAGAAUGGAAUUCCCGGUGUAGCGGUGAAAUGCGCAGAUAUCGGGAGGAACACCGGGGGCGAAGGCGGUUCUCUGGGCCUUAACUGACGCUGAGGAGCGAAAGCGUGGGGAGCAAACAGG